rnacentral:lncRNA from 1 species
GAAAGAUAAACUUUUUCGCAAUUACAUCUGAUGCCAUACAUAAAAAAUUUCAAAACAAAAAAGCCCUACCUAUGGGUCAGUUUGUGAAGUAACUUUUGCUACUUCAAUCUGAUGAGGUGAAUUUGAAAGUUAAGGCGGCGGUGGAGAUUCGACAGCUUACUAAGAUCUUGCAGCGCUACCGCCGUCAUUUCUCCGGUGCCAUGAAGCUGCUUGUCGACAUGCUCCUUUGCGACUCUAUUGAAGCCAAAUAGGCGACACUCGCUGCUCUUCUUAACCUCGCAGUCAAGGAUGAAACGUAAGGAAAAGUCUAUCUAUUAUAUUAUGUGCCUUCCAUGUAUAUUCGUAGGUAGAUUUCACUUGUAGACUCAAUUCACUUGUAGACUCAAAUUGAAGUGAGCAUUGGGGUUUAGAACUAGAGUUUUAAAUUUAAAUCCCUUAAAUAGUUUGGUUAUUGAUUUAACCCCCCAAAUUUAAUAAUCUGGAGAUUAAAAAAAAGAUUCUGGUUCUUGUAAUCAAUAUCCUGAAAAAUGUUUUCACUUUUAUAGAUUGGCCGUUGGUUUGUCUAAUUUAUUGUUCAAAGUUUCUAAUUUUGGAGAAUGAAAUCAUGAUUCUGGUGUCUCUUAAUCAAUACCCUAAAAAGGUUUCAUUUUUAUUGGAUUGGUUAUUGAUUUAUCUAAUUAAGCUCUUCGUUUUAGGGAUUGGUCGGAAGGGGUCAGUUUUUGAUUUGUCUAAUUAAGCUCUAAUUAAAUCGCAAAAGUUACUUUUUUAUUGUGGUUUUAUUUGUAUAAAUUUUCUAUGGGUCAGUUUGUGAAGUAUUUUCUGUCUUUCGAUCUACCUAUGCGUUGAUUGAUUUGGUUUGUGGUUGUUUGAAACUGAACACAUUUUGAAUACUGCAAUGUGACGGUUUGAUAGAUUAGGGGAAUCUGCCCCCAGGCAUAGAAAGGAAAGGAGUGAGGUUAUGUCAUGCCUUGUUAGCAGCUAUAGUGUGUGGUUCGAUUUCUGAGACAUAGAAUUGGGCUCCACAGUGUACAUGCAACUUUUGUUCUCUGACCUGUUGGGACACAUCCCGCGAUUUACCUACCACACAAAGACGGGUAAUGGGACCCUCAAGGGGUUCAACCUUUUUUUAAAUUAGGGGAAUUUGCAAAAGGACUAGUGCUUCAACUGAGGAAAAGCUUCCAUCUCGGUUAGUUCAGAGAAACAUUAAAGGAAUACAGUGUCUAUCUCAGUCCUGCAUACCUGGUUAGUCAUUUAUGCUACAAUGUCUAUUUCAGUCCUGUAUAACUGGUUAUGAUGCACUUUAUAUGAUUCAUUUGUGCAAUAUACUAGAAUUUUCCACAAUUAAUUGGUCACAGAAUUUUCGUGUAGUAUUUUUUUUUUUUAACCAUAACUUCUUAGUUUCAAUAAUUGCCUUUUUAUUUUUUAUUAUUAUUAUUAUUAUUAUUUUUUUAUAUAUGCACUGUUUCUUGGAGAAAAUGCAGAUAGUAAGCUUGUAGAGAUUAUCAAGUGUGCCAUCAUUUCUAAUUUUACGUUCCUAUGGAUCAGAUUGCCAUAACUGUAAUGAUCUCUUCAUGUAUACUAAUUAGACGACUUUCUCUAAUAGGUUCUUGGUACACUAACUUGAGAAGAAAUUCGAUUGAUGAAUCCAAGCUAUAAUGAUUUCAAAUUUCCUCAAAUUAAAGCCCAUCCAUGGCGCAAGGUAUGCGUGGACUUGCUACAUGCUAUCUUCUUAGAGGUACCAUAAAUUUUCAAUGCACAAGUGAAUGAUUGAAGAGUUUUUUUUCGUAUUGAUUUAAUGCUUCUCUUGCAGAUUCAUGGACAAUUGUGAAUUGUGUGGCGAGCGACUCAAAGAAUGCAUGAAGAAUGACAAGAUUGAGUGUGCCAUUAGUGUAUUAACCAGAAGCUUAUUGUUGCGUGUCAAUAAGCUCUUCAUGCAUGCCGAAGUAGUAUCAAAAUUUUAUUUCUGAUUUUUUUCCCAUUUUGAAACUCCUUUUUAUUUAGGAUAAAUAUAUAUGUACCGAAUUGGUUACCUACUCUCACAUGCAUGUGGGCCCCAUGUGCAUUUAAAAAUUCCGGUGUGUGGGACCCGUCCUCUUAUUGUGAGUGUAGGUAAAAAAUUCGGUAAAAAGUGUAUGUACAUCUAGCAUGGUCCAUUUAUUUAGGUGGUAUUUAUCACAUUUUAAUAUUCAAGUGUAUGGAUUCAAAAAUUUGUGAUGAAAUUAUCAAUUUUUAUGUAAUUCCAAAUUUUGUUCGCAAUGAG